UUCAUGGAGAGUUUGAUCCUGGCUCAGGACGAACGCUGGCGGCGUGCCUAAUACAUGCAAGUCGAGCGGACAGAUGGGAGCUUGCUCCCUGAUGUUAGCGGCGGACGGGUGAGUAACACGUGGGUAACCUGCCUGUAAGACUGGGAUAACUCCGGGAAACCGGGGCUAAUACCGGAUGCUUGUUUGAACCGCAUGGUUCAAACAUAAAAGGUGGCUUCGGCUACCACUUACAGAUGGACCCGCGGCGCAUUAGCUAGUUGGUGAGGUAAUGGCUCACCAAGGCGACGAUGCGUAGCCGACCUGAGAGGGUGAUCGGCCACACUGGGACUGAGACAGGGCCCAGACUCCUGCGGGAGGCAGCCGUAGGGAAUCUUCCGCAAU
rnacentral:rRNA from 1 species